AUUACCAUGUAUGUGAUUGAAAACACCGGUUCUCGUCCGAUAACCGAAGUAAUGUCGGGCCCGGUCAGUACUUGGGAGGGUGACCAUGUAUGUGAUCUCUCU